rnacentral:tRNA from 1 species
GGGCCGGUAGUUCAGCCUGGUAUACCAAGUUCCAUCAAGUCUUGGGCUGAAGAACGUUCGGUUCGCAUAGAUCCCGAUCGAUCUAGAGUGACCGAAAGGCCGCGGGUUCAAAUCCCGCCCGGUCCA